ACAGGCAGCUAGCCUCCCCUGGGGCAGGCAGGGACCAGAAGAGCCCCAGAGGGUCUUGUAGAACAGAGGCGGAGGAGGAGAGGACAGAAAGGACAGGGAGACAACCAAGGUAUGAGGUGGGAAGUUCUAACAUUCCUCUUUGUGCUAUUCCGUCCUUCCAGGAAUUACAGGUAGGGGAGAUGCUGGUUUUGGGUGAGCUCUGGAAUUUCAAAGAGGUUACCUUGGGUCUAGAGCAGAUAGGAAACUAUAGAGAAGCAGUGAAGGGCCUGGAGUCAGCCAGACCUAAGCCAGACCUGAGUCCUUUCUCUGCUGCUCAUGGUAGCUCUUGACCAUGGGCACUUGAUGUCAACUCUUUGAGCCUCCAUUUCCUUGUCCUGUAGAAUGGGGUAAUAAUAGGACUUUAGAAGAUUGUUGUGAAGGUUUACUGGAGAAAAGAAAAAUGUGUAAGAAACACUUUACUUGGUGCCUGGUCCAUAUUUGCCAGCUCUUGGUUGUUAGUUCAAGCUGAGCAGAAGCACCCACAUGCAGAAGGAUUUGACAGUUCUGGACCUGGGCCUCAGUCUACUUUGCAUUAGAGUAAAUUAUGUAUGUCUGUCGUGAUUAUAGUUAGAAGCUCCCAGAGGGUUGGAAACUCCAAGCUCAGAUACCUCAAAUACUAGGUAAUUGUGUUUUGAGUUGCACUAAAUUUAAUUCCUCCUUUAAACCAGUAAUUUCAG
rnacentral:lncRNA from 1 species